rnacentral:sRNA from 1 species
CUUGGUCAUUUAGAGGAAGUAAAAGUCGUAACAAGGUUUCCGUAGGUGAACCUGCGGAAGGAUCAUUAAAGAAUGCCCCGUUUUUUGAAAUGGGUUCUGUUCCCAAACCGUGUAUACAUACUUUUGUUGCUUUGGCAGGCCGCCUUCGGGCGUCGGCUCACGCUGACAGCGCCUGCCAGAGGACCCAAACUCGUUUGUUUAGUGAUGUCUGAGUACUAUAUAAUAGUUAAAACUUUCAACAACGGAUCUCUUGGUUCUGGCAUCGAUGAAGAACGCAGCGAAAUGCGAUAAGUAAUGUGAAUUGCAGAAUUCAGUGAAUCAUCGAAUCUUUGGACGCACAUUGCGCCCCUUGGUAUUCCGAGGGGCAUGCCUGUUCGAGCGUCAUUAUGACCACUCAAGCCUAGCUUGGUAUUGGGGUUCGCGGUCCCGCGGCCCUUAAAAUCAGUGGCGGUGCCAUCUGGCUCUAAGCGUAGUAAUUUAUCUCGCUAUUGGGUCCGGUGGUUGCUUGCCAACAACCCCUAACUUUUAAGGUUGGCCUCGGAUCAGGUAGGGAUACCCGCUGAACUUAAGCAUAUCAAUAAGCGGAGGA